rnacentral:snoRNA from 1 species
AAUUAAAAUUAAUCGUGCGGAUUAAUAAUCCAGGACUCUAAAACCGUGUUGCUUCUUCUAAUUCAAUUUAGAAUCCAAAGCGUCAAGUCCAUCGGAGAGAAUAAUUUGUUCAUCUUAAUGCCCUUUUGUGUAAUUCUUGUAAAGUUUUCUUGAGAAUCAAGGAUUUUUUUUCUUUAUUUCUCAGGUCCUCUUUAACAUACCGUUAUGCAAGGGCUGGUAGGACAUACAUCU